CGCGCAGGCGGCCAUUUAAGUCAGAUGUGAAAGCCCGGGGCUCAACCCCGGAAGAGCAUUUGAUACUGGGUGGCUUGAGUAUGGGAGAGGGAAGUGGAAUUCCUGGUGUAGAGGUGAAAUUCGUAGAUAUCAGGAGGAACACCGGUGGCGAAGGCGACUUCCUGGACCAAUACUGACGCUGAGGCGCGAAGGCGUGGGGAGCAAACA
rnacentral:rRNA from 1 species